rnacentral:lncRNA from 1 species
UUGUAUCCAAAAUAUAUAUAGAAUUCUUUCAUUAAUAAAAAGACAACCCAAUUGAAAAUAUAGGUUAUUUCUCCAAGAAAGAUACACAGAAGACCCAUUAACACAUGAAAAGAUGCACAUUAUUAGCUGUCAAGGGAAUGCAAAUCAAAACAAUGUUUUACUUCACAUACACUAGAAUGGCUAUAAUAAAAAAGAAAGGGAUGUAGAAAAAUCAGAACCUUCAGACAUCCUGGUGGAAACGUAAAAUAGUAUGGAAUGUGUAGAAUCUAGCAGUUCUUCACAAUGCUCAAUGUAGAGUUACCACAGGACCCAGCAGAUCUACUCCUAGGUAUAUAUCCAUGAGCAAUGAAAGCACAGAACUUGUAUACAGAUCAUUAUUCACGGUAAUCAAAAAAUAGAAACAAUGCAAAUAUCCGUUAACUAAUUGAACAAAUUAGCAAAUGUGUUCUAUCCAUAUAAUAGAAUAUCAUUCAGCAAUAAAAAGCAAUGAAGUACUGAUAUGCCCUACAACAACGUGAAAGCACUAUACUAAGUGAAAGAAGCAGUCACAAACACCCUGGUGUUAUAUGAUUCCAUUUAUAUAAAAUGCCAGAGACAGGAAGCGGGUUAGGGAAGAGGUAGUCUGGGGGAAUGGAUCUCUUGAUGGGUGCUGUGAUUUUUUUCCAGGGGUGGUGAAAUCUUUUUAAAUUAAUCUUGGUGAUUUGUUACCCAACUCUAUGAAUGUACUAAAAUCUUUGAAUUGUAAAUUCAAAGAUGUAAAUAAUUGUAACUUAUAAUAGGUGAAUUGUAUGCUAUUUAAACUAUCUCCAUAAAGCUAUUAAAAAUACUCUGUAUUUAUAAAUAUAAGCUGAGAAUCCCUAAAUAAAGCUAAAUUCUCAGGUUCCAUUUUUUUUUUAAUUGCAUGUAAUUAGAUGGUAAUAGAAUAUUGUUACUAUCAACAGCACUAAUUUGGAAUUCUAGCCCUAGCACUUUGUAGAUGGACACAAUACCUUUAUAUAGUUGUGAGAUUGGGAGCAAGAUACUCAUAAAAUGAGAAGAAUAUAUAAAAUUAUUUAAAAAUACUUGUUCUGAAUUUUAUAGAAUUUUAAUAAUUAUGUCCUUUUUAGUGUUUAAAGCUUAAGAAUUUUAGGCAUUUUAGAGCUAAUGUGGAGAUCAGAGUGCUUAGAAGUCAUUGCCAGCCCACUUCUGCUGCUUACUCAUUAGAAGUGCCAUGGGAGCUUCUUAGAACAACCUGUCUCUGGGCCAGACUUCGGAGUCUGAUAUCAUCAGUCUCCAGUGGACUCCAGCAUCUCAUUGCUCUCCACUUCCUCCCCUUUUCCCCCCACACGAUUUUAAUAUGCAGCCACAAUUGAUAGCCACUGACUUCAUUGGUGAGCGGAUUUGUAUUUGCAACAUCAAAAGUCAAGCCAUUUUCUUUCAUAAUUUCUCUGUUGCAUAUUAUUGCUAGAUUUGUCAAUUUAUAAGUUGGAAGUGGAGAGGAAAUAUGAAACAAGGUAGCUAUAUAGUAAGAAAUAUUAUCAAAAUAACAUUUUACAAUUUAAGAUGUGCCUGCUUAUAAUGAUUUCUUAGAUUUAUAUAUAAAAUACUGGUUAAGUAGGUUCAGGUUUCAGCACUGCUCUAAUUUGCCAUUGAUUUU